rnacentral:misc_RNA from 1 species
UGCUUGAUUGGUGGCUAUAAUGUUCCCAGUAGAUGCAUCCAAACGGAAUUCACUUCGAUUAAGAAGUGACUUUACGAUAGCGUGCUGCCUCCUCAUGACCGCAUAUCUGUUCUUGAGCUGCUCUUUAUCCCAUUUCAGGCCAGUCUUCUGAUAAAACUCAUCAGACAUGAUGUUCCAUGCUUUCUUGCUAAAAGAAUUGUUGUUUAGUUUAUUCCCUUUCUGGACCUGGUCAACCAUUAAGUCCGCAAAUAUCUUAGUUAGGCCAUUUGUCCACCUCGCCCGCGAUUGUGGUUCUGGCUGCUGAGUUAUUUGCUGCCUCGACCGCGUAACUCGCCUCGCCAUUUAAACUUCCUACUGAAAACAAAAUCAAGAAGAAAGAAUUUCAUGAAGCAAAUUUUGUGAAA